rnacentral:rRNA from 1 species
UAAUACAGAGGUCGCAAGCGUUAAUCGGAUUUACUGGGCGUAAAGCGUGUGUAGGUGGUUGUGCAAGUCGGUUGUGAAAUCCCCGGGCUCAACCUGGGAACUGCUUCCGAGACUGUGCGACUAGAGAUCGGUAGAGGGCGGUGGAAUUUCCGGUGUAGCGGUGAAAUGCGUAGAUAUCGGAAGGAACACCAAUGGCGAAGGCAGCCGCCUGGGCCUGAUCUGACACUGAGACACGAAAGCGUGGGGAUCAAACAGGAUUAGAUACCCUGGUAGUCCACGCCGUAAACGAUGGGUACUUGACGUCGGUACGCUCUGCGUAUCGGUGUCGCAGCUAACGCGAUAAGUACCCCGCCUGGGGAGUACGGCCGCAAGGUUG